rnacentral:misc_RNA from 1 species
CCGAGUUAUAAACUCCAAACCCUUGUGAACAAUACCACUGUUGCUUCGGCAGGCGGGCCCAGGGCGGGCCUAUACAACGCCUGCCGAAAGACCAAACUCUUCCAUCCUGCCCUCUGAAGAAAAAGACAAAUAGUUA